GCCCAGUACCCCGCCAGUUCCGAAAGGUUAAAGAUGACGCGCUUGACGGAAAGACCGGGUGCCGGAAUGAAUUGGUCAAAACAAAAUGGUCUUGCAAACCGGUGGGGAUUUGACGGUUCUGCCCGAAGUUGCCCUGUCGUAACGUCAGAAUGCCGCAUCGCAUGGAGAUCUGAUCAGAGACUAUCCUGGAUGCAUUUUCACAACAGCAAUAAGUAGCAAGGGCCCUUUUCAUCGACCUUGUCGACCAAUCAUACACAAGAUUUAGGGCCUCUCUUAAAUACCAUGCUUGUAGGGCCGCCACGUGAAGCUCCUCGGAUGGUAUUUCAACGGAUAAUGCGGAUAGAGUGGAUGGACGCCUAGCCG